UGAAAGACUCCCCAGUGCUAGUGUUUCACAGGGGCUUCCAAGGACGGCGCCCCGGCCUGAUUCCGGAGGGACGCGGAGCAGCUGAAGAGCGUCAAGCACGCGGUCCCGGGAAGGAAAAGGAAAGGAAAACGAAGCACCGCGCGACUGUCCGCCUCACGCAGCCAGAGCCCAAGAGCACAAACAGACGACGGCACCGGAGGCGGGGCGGAGCGUGGCGUGUGUGCGUCGUGACGCGAUCCGCUGCGCCCGUCCCGCCGCGAGUCAAAGCGCUGUUGCCAGGGAGAAGACGGCGGCCGCGGCUAUGAAGCCCAGCGUCGUGAAGCUGCUUGGGCAGGACUUGGUGGUGGAGCGCCUCAAAAGCCGCUACGGACUGGGGAGCGACUGCCCCGUCGAGCCGGGGCGUUGGCGGUCGGACCGCGCGGAGGGAGCAUCAGAAGCGGCCUCCCCGCACCCCAGGGAUACAAGUGACUCUCCUGCGAAAUGGGUCCCUUCCCCGGCGUCCAAAGCAUCAAACAGGCAGAGUGCUUCCAUAUCAGAUCAACCAAAUACACGAUGAACUGUUCAAAUCCAUCAGAAACUGCAGCAACAUGAUGCAGAAGUUGAGCACUUAACUGAAGUUCUUAAAGAAGGAAAGAAAGAAAAAAAGCAAGAGGUUAAGGUCCUCUUUUGAUGCAUUGAAAGAAUUGAAUGAUAGCUUCAAAAAACAGACUGGAUUUCAUAUCAUCACCUCAGCAAGUUGAAACACGAAGAAUCUGGGGUGGACAGUGAGAAGCCAGCACUUGGACUUGCUUCUCAGAGAGAUGACAUUCAGGAGAAGUGUGUGAAGGUUUGCUUUUGAGUUUGAAAUGCAUGACUCAGUGGACAUGAACAGUGAAAAAGGCAUUUAGUGGUAUAUUUUACAUGAGAAAAAAAAUAUUGAAAGUAUUUUUGAUAGCAAAUUAAUCAUUCCAAUAGUCAGUUCUAAAAAGAUUCAUUUCAGACUUAGUUAAACCUAAUUACCUCCCCCCCCAAAAAAGAAAAAUGAGUUAAUUUGAAUAAUUAAUGGAGGUACUGGGGAUUCAACGCAGGACCUUGUGCAUGCUAAGCAGACGCUCUACCCCUGAGCUAUACCCUCCCCUCGUACUUACAUUUUUAUUAACAUGAUGGAAAUUUCAUUUUAAAAACAGACCAGAAAUUGAAAACCUACUUCAAAAAUUGCAAAGUAAUUGUAUAUUAGAGUUAGGCAGUUAAUCAGUGAUAUAAACAAUUUCUGAUACGUAUCAUUUUAGGAUUCAGAUCCCACUAAAAUAAUUUUAUUUCGCUUUUUGUCAUGAAGGGAUAAAAAGUAUUUUCAAGGGGCUUCUCAUUAACAAAGAGAAAUGACUGUUUUCUUAAAUUACAGACGUUAAUUUGGAUAUUGAUACUCACGGUUUCCAGUCAGUAUGAAUUGUCAUUAGAGAUUCAUUUGUAUUCCAUGAGAAAUACAUUAAAACUCUGAAGGGUGGAUAUCUAAAGUUGUUUGUUUGGUUUAACAUUUUCAGAAACAGUUUCAUAAUUAUUAAACAGGCCAGGGUUUCAUUUUAGGAUAUCAUUUCCAGUUUCAUCCUGGCCUAAAAAGUUUCUUCUGAAUGCCUUUUGUGCUAGAUAGGAUAAUGCCCCAGAUGUUCAUAACCUAAUCCCUGGAACCUGUCAGUGGUUACAAGUAAAUUAAGGUUGUUGAUCAGCUGACCCUUCAAACCAGUCAGGAUUAUCUGGGUGGGUCCAUUAAUCACAGGACUGCUUCAAACCAGACAGAAGGGACAGAAGAGGAGGUCAGAGACUCGGCUUAUCCUUGCUGGUUUUGAAGGUGGAGGAAGAGGGUCACACCCAAGGAGUGGGAGUUGCUCCUGGAAGCCAGGAGUUACCCUCCGCUGACAGCCAGCAAGGAUCUCAGUCCUACAAGCACAAGACAGUGAGUGUAGUCAGCAGCUGGAGGAGCAGCAUGUGGCCCCCUAGUCUCCAGAAAGGAGCCCAGCUCUGCUCACACCUGGAUUUUAGCCGGUGAGAAUCCAUAAUUUGUUAUGGCAGGAAUGGGAAACAAAUGCACCUUUGUUUAGAAUUUCUCUUUUAGCACCUCCAUCAACUAUUCUGUCUAUAUCUAGCCUCACUUUAGAAGUAGCUGCUGACUAGGAGGGCCUCCAGUAUUAAAGUUCUGUAGAGAAAUACUGUUUGUUAGAACUGGAUGCAAUAGGGCAGUCCUAGGAUAUUAAGGCUAACAGUUGAUAAUUUUAGCAGAUAGUGUAUGGGUCACAAUUUGUUUUUACAUCAGAUUACUGGCAUAAGGGAAUAUUUAGCAUGUGUUUGGAACAGGGUUCUUUUUAUCAUCCUUAAAUAAGGAUCAUGACUUAUUGACUUAUUCUAGAUUUAGUUUUUGGUGAGCCUUGAUCUUUAAAAUAUUUUCAAUUUAUGGUUCCUAGUAUAUUAGUAAAGGUAGAAUAAUGUUAAAGCUUAUUAAUAGUCUUCUUCAUAGAAAAAGAGAAGGAUAAAUAGAACCAAAUUUCUUAAUUUCUUAAUUGAAUAUACUUGUGGCCAAAAGCAGCGAGUAUUCAGAUAUUUUUAGGUGUAUGUACAAUUCCUGAUUUAAAAUAAGGCAGUCUUUUUUUGUGACAUUAUUGUAUGAAUCACUUUGAUGGCCCCUAUGUUUAAGAAUACUAGUGUAACGGAAAAUAUCUCAGAAUCAUGGCUCCACAAAUUACUUUUGGGGACUUCUGACACGUUUUGUUGUAUAUUUUAUCACAGCCAUGAUCCAUUAUCAUUUGAAGAGUGAUUUAAUAUUUUAAAACACAAACAGCUAUUGGGGACUAAAUAUGGUAUAUUUUAAGUAGAAGAUCAAACCGCAUAAGAAACCGCCUUAAUAAGAUCAGUUUUCCUUGUGUGGCUCAAAAACAGAUCGGUGGAAUAUUUUCAAAGAAACUGCAAAAUAAGUAAUUCAGUAUAACUUAAAGUGGAAUCGGCUGCUUGAAGUUGCAACCUGAAGUUACACUGAUGAUUGGAAAAAUACCUGUAGAAAGAAGAUUGACGUCACCAAUAUGGCAGAUUGGGGAGCUCCAGGCCCUUGUUCCCUAGUGGAGAUGCUGAGGUAACAACAGGGUACUGACCGGACAUAUGUUUGUGAGAAUUCUAGAGACCAGUUGAGAAACUGCAGCACCCAAGCCAACAUGUAACCAGGAAGAGGCUCCAUCGAAGGGAAGGAAAGUUUGUGACAUUUGGGGUGCCUGUGUCCAUUUCAUUGUAGCCCAGUGCAGUCAGGAGGACACACUCCUGUAACCAUGGCUCCUCCCUGGGGACAGAAACAGGCGAGGACUGUGUGUCCAACAUUUUACCUUGUCGGGUACUGGCUGCAGGACUGGUUUCUGUUUUACUUGACUAGGUACUGACGAGAAUGGUGACAUUAUUUGGAAGCUUCAGAAAAUAGUCGUGAAUGCUGCAGUGCAUUAGAGCUGCACAGAUCUACACUUCUCCAGGCAGAUGCCAGGGGAGAAGGAGUACAGGCUCCCAAGAAGAAAACAGGUAAGCCACGUUGGAAAUUGAGACAGUUAAAGCACACACACAUAAGGCCAGAGAAGACACCUCCCUAGAAAAGUUUUGAGAGGCCCCUGAACCACAAGCUGGACCGGUGAUGAAGGUCUUCCCCUCCACAAAGCCACUCAUAAGGACUGGGAGAGGCAGUGGUUUUUACCACAUGCCAAAGUAAAAAUAAAGGAAAGAAAGACAUAUGGCUCAGUCAAAGGAACAAAACAAACUCCAGAACUGACUAUAAAGAAAUGCAUAUCUCCAAACUUCCAGGCAGAGAAUUUUAAAACUCUCUUUAAGAUGUUCAGUGAGCUAAAUAAAAGAGAACACAGAUAGACAACUAAGCAAAAUCAGGAAAACAGUGUGUGAGCAAAUUGAAAAUAUCACGAAAAGACAGAAGUUCUAAGAAAGAACCAAAUGACUCUGGGAGCUAAAGAAUACAAUAAUUUUAACUGAAAAACUUCAUUACAGAGGCUCAACAGCAGACUUCAUCAGGCAGAGGAAAGACUCAGCAAAGAUGAAGAUAGGUUAUAGAAGUCAUUCAGUCAGGAGCAAAAAGUGGGGGAAACUGAAGAGAGCCUGAGGGACUUACAGAACAUCAUCAGGUGGACUGAGUGGACUAACGUAUGCAUUAUGGGAGACCAGAAACAGAAGAGAAAGGGGCAGAGAUUAUUUGAAUAAAUGAUGGCCGAAAACUUCCCAAGACUGAGGAAAUAAAUGGACAUACAAUUCAAGAAGCUCAACAAACUCCAACUAGGAUACCCCCACCCAAAAACUCAUUCUGGGACACAUUGUAAUUAAACUGCUGAAAGUCAAAGACAGACUGGUAAUCAUCAGGAGAAAAGUGAUUUUUCACAUACAAGUGAGCUUUUCUAAAAAAACCUUGGAGAUUUUGCGGGUUUGGUUCCAAACCACUGCAGUAAAAUGAGUCAGAUUAAUGGUUUGGUUUCCCAGUUCAUAUAAAAGUGACAUUUACAUUGUACUGUAGUCUGUUAAGUGUGCAAUAGCAUUGUGUCAAAAAACAACGUAAAUACCUUAAGAAAUGCUGUACCUGAGCCUUCAGUGAGUUGUAAUCUUUUUGCUGGUGGAGGAUUUGAAAUGCUGUUGGAAAAAUGGUGCCAGUAGACUUGCUCAGUGCAGGAUUGUCACAAACCUUCAGUUUGUAAAAACUGCCGUGUCUGCCAUGUACAGUAAAGCAAAGCACGAUAAAACGAGGUCUACCUGUAUCGGUGGGUUUCUUAGCGGAAACUUUGCAGGCCUGGAGGCAGUGGGAUGAUGUACCAAUCAUGAUACAGUAUCUGCAGAAUUGUCCUUCAGAAAUGAAGGUGAGAUUAAGACUUUGCCAUAUAAACAAAUGUUCAGUGAGUUCAUGACUAAUAGACCGGCCCUGUGAGAAAUGUUAAUAGAGUCCUGCAGCUUGAAAUGAAAGCACACCAAACAGCUACAUGAAGCUGUAUUAUAGAGUUCUUCAGUAAAGGGAAAUACAUGGGCAAAUACAGUAACCUGUAUUGUAAUUUUGGUGCAUAAGUCCACUUUUAAUUCUUGCAUAGAAUUUAAAAGACAAAAGUAUAAAAAAUAAUUGUAAAUCUGUGCUAAUGAGUUGUACAAAGUAUAAAGAUGUAAUUUGUGACAUCGAUAAUACAGGUAGGGUGGUGGAGCUGUAACGUAGUAUUUUGAUGUGUAACUGAAGUUUAUACUUUAAAAGACUUUUGACUUUAACGUGUUUUGCAUAAUUGCAGUGGUAACUGCAAAGAAAAUAUCUGGAGUAUACGCAAAAGGAAAUGAGAAGUAGAUGAAAAUAUAUCACUACAAAAAAAAAAAAAAUCAGUGAAACAUGAAAGAAAGAAGGCAGUACAAGAAAAAAGAAGGGACCAAAAGCUCUAAGGUACACAGAGCACAGGUAAAAAAGGGCAACAAUCAUUCCCUGUUAGUAAUUGCUCUAAAUGUAAAUAAAUUAAACUCCCCAAUCAAAAGACAUAAGAUUGGCUGAAUGAAUUAAAAAAACAGUAUUGAACUGUUUGCUGCCUACAAGAGACUCACUUCCCCUAACCCCUGGCAACAUCAUUCUGCUUUGUAUGUUUCUUAAAAACAACCAGCUUAAAAAAAUCCUCAUGCCUAAGAGACACAUUUUGGGGUGGCAAAUUUUGCUCCCCUGCAAGGACACAAUGCUAAGUGAAAUAAGGCGAAAUACUGUGUAAUUCCGCUUGUAUGAGGUCCUUGGAAUAGUUAAAUUCAUGGGGACAGAAAGUAGAAUGAUAGUUGCCAGGGGUUAGGGGAAGGAGAAGAGUUAAUGUUUAACAGGUAUAGAGUUUGUUUUACAAGAUGAAAAAAGUUCUGUGGAUAGUGGUGCUGGUAGCACAACAGUGUGGAUGCACUUAAUGCCAUUGAACUGUACACUUCUAAAUGGGUAAGAUAGUUGUAGGGGAGCAGAAUUUGCCACCCCAAAAUAUGUCUCUUUGGCAUAUUAUUUUAAGCUGGUCAUUUUCUAAGAAACAGCAGAUGUGGGAAAAACUCUGAAAACCAAGCAGGAGUUACCCUCUGGGAAGAAACAUUUUACAUCUAUAAAGGAAAUCUCCAUUUGUUAAGGAUGUCUCCCUCUUCUGUACCAGAAGGAGGAGGACUAAAUCUCUAGAAAGUCUUAUCUAUGAAAGCAAUGACAGACCCGCCUAACCACCUUACCUUUGUUUGCUGAGCUUAUCCUGGUAACUUCUGAUAACUGACUCUCUCCACCCUCAACAUUCUCUUUAAUUUUUAGCUGGAGAUGAUAGUAUUAAGGUGAGAGCUUCGACCAUUUUGGCAAGUUAGUUUUCCUGGGUCUCUCCCAUGUAUAUGUGUUCUUAAAGUUUUGCUUGAUUUUCUCCUGUUAAUCUGUUUCAUGUCAAUUUAAUUCCUAAACCAGCCAAAAGAACCUAGAAGAGUAGAGGAAAAUUUCUCCCUCCCCAAACAGAUCUUUUGUAUGCAAUUUGGAAGGAGAAACUGAAGUUGCAUCCGUAUUGUUUUCUCUCUGGGGAGGUUGGAGCUUCUCUGUUGUUCCUUAUCGCUGUCUUGUUGGGGAGGGGUAGCAGCUGGGCCCACGGCAACUCCUCUUACUGCUGAAUCUCCUCCUUUAACUUCUAAUUCUGUCCCAGGUGCAUGUUUAGCUGUGUCCAAGGGCACCUGCUUCCGUUGCAGAACACGCUUAACAUCAGAUAGAGGCUUGGGGGCAGUGAGAGCCACGUGUGCUGUAUCCUUGGGGGCUCCACUCUCAUGGGUUCCAGAUUGAUCUUGCUCCAUGCAUAGCCCCCUUCACAUCCCUCUCCCCUUCCUGCCUGCCCUGCUGACUUCAGACUGACACCAGACGCAGAACUUAACAAGCUUCCACAACUGCACAUAGUCAAAUUCUUAGAAAAAAAAAAUAUAUAUAUAUAAUAUAACAAUGUAAUAUAUUUAUAUGGUAUAUAUAAAUAUUACAUAAUUUUUUUAAAAUGGUUCUGCUUCUCUGUCUAAACUCUGACUUCUACUCCCAGCUAUAUGCUGUUCACAAGAAACACUUUAAAGGACAUGUAUAUUAAAAGCAAAAAGAUGGAAAAGAGAUCCCACAUAAAUUCUAAGCAUAAGAAAGAAAGCCAGAAUAGUUAUAUUACAUCAGAUAAAAUAGACUUAAGGGUAAAAAACACUACAGAGAUAGAGGAAUAUUUCCUAGUGAUAAAGGGGUCAAAUCAACAAGAUCUAAUAAUCCUAGGUUCUUAUGUAUCUAAUAAUGAAGCUUCAAUAUACAUGAAGCAAAACUUGAAAGAACUGAAAGUAGGAGUAGAUAAACCUACAAUCACAGUUGGAAAUUUCCUUGCUCACUUAUUAUUUUAUGGAACAAAGGCAGCGAACCACUAAAGAGAAGAUUUAAAUGAUGUCAGUGCAACCUGUCACUUAUGGAACAGUACUCUCAACAAUAGCAGGAUAUUUUAUUUCUCAAGUACACAUCAAAACCAAAUCAGAAUCCCAGUGGACUUUUUGGGGCGUGGAGGUAAUUAACAAGCUGAUUCUAAAAUUUAUAUGAAAAGGCCGAUAAUCCAUAUAAGUCAGAACAAUCUUGCAAAGGAAAAACAUGAUUUACACUAUCUUGAUUUCAUGACUUACUAUAACGCUAGCAUAAUCAGGACAGUAAGGUCCCGUUGUAAAGAUAGACAAGUAGAUCAGACAGAAUAGAAAGUCUCAAAAUUGACCCACACUUACCUUGUCAGUUGAUUUUCAAGAAAGCACCACAGCAAUUAAAUAUGGAAAGGAAAUUCUUUUUAACAAAGGGUGCUAGACAAACUAGCUAUGUAUAUGGGGAAAAAAUGAGCCUUGAUCCAUAUCUCAUACCACAUAAAAAAUAAACUAGAAUUGGAUCACAGAUGUUGUUAAAGAAUAAAAUUCAACAGAAAAAAUGCUCACUAUCACCAAUUAUCAGAGAAAUGCAAAUCAAAACUACAAUGAGGUAUCACCUCACACCAGUCAGAAUGGCCAUUAAAAAGUCCACGAUAAAUGUGGGAGAGGAUGUGGAGAAAAGGGAACCCUCCUACACUGCUGGUGGGGAUGUAGUCUGGGGCAGCCAUUAUAGAAAGGUAUGGAGAUUCCUCAAAAAACUAAAAAUAGACUUACCAUAUGAUCCAGUAAUCCCACUCCUGGGCAUAUAUCCAGAGGGAACUCUUAAUUCGAAAAGUUACAUGUCAUAAAAUAACAGCAACAUUGAUGGACCUGGAGAUCGGCAUUCUAAGUAAGCAAGAAAGAGAAAGACAAAUACCAUAUGACAUCACUUACAUGUGAAGUCUAAAAAAGGACAAACGAACUUAUUUACGAAACAAAAACAGACUCAACAGACAUAGAAAACAAACUAAUGGUUCCCAGGGGGUGAAGGAGGUGGGAAGGGAUAAACUGGGAGUUCGAGAUUUGCAAAUAUUAACUAAUAUAUAUAAAAUAGAACAAAUUUAUACUGUAUAGCAUAAGGAACUAUAUUCAGUAUCUUGUAACUCAUGGUGAAAAACAAUAUGAAAACGAAUAUGUUUCUAUAUGACUGAAGCAUUGUGCUGUACACCAGAAAUUGACACAACAUUGUAAACUGACUGUAUACUUCAACUGAAAAAAAGAUAACAUGCACAAGCUUUGCAGUGAACCCUUCACUUCCUAAACCCACAUGUGAUAACUUCUCCAAUGCUGCUCCGCCUCCCAGCCUAGAAACUUACUGGAAUGACCGACAUUUUUUAAAUUUAAAGGUGGGAUGGGGGUGGGAGGUAGAAACCUGCAUUGGAGGCUAGAGCGUGUCACCCACAUGAUCCAAACAUUGGAGAUGAUCCUUGGCUGGUGUCUGCUCGGGCUGGAGAGAGGGAAGUCACUGGCGAAAUCAAUGCAAAGCCCCCUUCUAGGGAACAGGCUUGGGGUUCUGGAAAGUAAGGGGUGCAUAUUCUGGCUGGAUGACAGCCCCUGGGCUUCGAGCAUUCACCCUGUGCCGAGUGCUUCACGCAUCGUUUAUCUCGUCUUCACAACAGCUGUGCCAGGGAGCAAGUGCCCACUUUUUUUUUUAAUCGAUGAGACAGAGGUUUCAGGAGGUGCAGGAACUUGCACUGGGUCACACAGCCCAGAAGGGAAAGGGCUGCGAUGUGAAUCCUGCUCAGUGUCCCCUGAUGUUCUUUUGAAUAAUAAACAUCCCUUUAUUUGCCUGGCACGUAGCAUACGCUCAGUCACAUCUACUUUGAGCUACUGGACUGAACAGAAACAGCUGUUCACUGGUGCUGCAGACUUCCAGGCUAGAGGCAGGAAAGCAACCUCAAGACUGUGUUGUCACACAAAGUGCUGGUGGCCGCUGCAGUUCUCCAUUUGUUUGGGAGAUAAGUCCGCAGCCCGCAUUCUUGGGGUUUGCUGGUUCAAUCCUUUCCCUAGUCUCUAGUUCAUGGGUUACUACUCGUAUGUUAAUGGGCACGUGAGGUCAAGGCCAUUGCUAGUGGGACUCUUAGAAGCCAAAAAUCAGCAAAAAUUGUUGGGCACGAGUUGGGCAUUUAAAAGUUGUUAGAGCACUCACCAACUAGCCCACAGACUCUCACGUCAGAAUAAGUUGGUCACGGAUUAGGUUAGGUUGACACUAGGUAAAGGAAAUUUCCACGCUGUGAAGUAUGCUGUUAAGGCACCGUAUGAUUUCCAACCUCACGGCCCAUCCCUCUUAGGUAUUUAGUUUGGCUUCCGAGGGAACCAAGGCCUAGCUAAAAGAACAGGAUCUUUCUUUUACAUCCAAAGAGUGGAAAGUGCCCCCCUUCUGGCACACCUGCUUAUUUUCUGUUUAAGAACUUUAGUCCCUGAAGCUGCCGACAUUUAGCAAAAUGGCUAAGUUUUACUAAAAAACAACCUAGAAAUACAACAGCCAUUAUAAGAGAUGUUAGACAGGAUCAUUCGUUUAAGAUGUGGACUUGAGAGUAAAGUUCCUGAAACAAGUGAACAGAAGAGGACAUGUAUUUUAAUGGGUAUGUAUAAACUUCCAAAAGUUUUCAAAAUUCCAGAAUAGUUUGAAAGAUUCAUUGCAAAAGGCUAAUGAACAGUCAGAGACACAAAAAGCAUCUAAAACAACGCCUACUUUGAAACACGUGGGUCCAAAGAUCAGUGUCUCAGCUGUAAUCACCUGGAAAAGAGAGUCUUCAAAGGUCCUAAACAGGUUUUUCAGUAUCAACUGAAUGUCCCUGUACAGGCCCCUCCCAGAGUUGAUAAAACAUUUUGUAAAACUGCUGUGUUACUCCCUUAAACAGGCAGGGGAAACUGAAAUUAUUCAGUCUGGUAGGAAUUUUUUUAGGUCUUCUCCCCAAGCUAAAUGUAACCAGAGACAAAGAGAAACAUUAAAAGAAAACCAAACAAGCCCAGCUGUCUUUGUUUCACAAAUCAAACCUUUUAAAGGGCCAAAGGUGUGGCUCUAGAAGUUCAAAAGUUCAUGUCUUUUUUAUUGCCAAUGCCUCAAACUUCACCUGUUCCUCCCAAUUGUCUUUGUCAAAUUGAUUUUGUCACCAGAGACUCCAGUCUGUUCAUAACUAUUUCGAUCAGGUUUGCCUCCACCGAGAGCUUGUCUGCACACAGUAAAGCCAGUCUGCUGACACCGGGUUGUGGUGAAGGACAGUGCGGUGUUUAUUGUAGGGCACCAAGCGAGGAGUCCAGGCAGCUAGUGCUUAAAAACUCCCAGAUGGCUUUCAGGAAAAGGUUUUUUAAAGGCAGGGUGAAGGACAGGGUCAUAGGGGUGUGUGGCCAGCUUGUGAUUCAUGGGUGGUGAGGUAAUCAGGCGUCAACAUCAUCGACCUACUUGGUACAAUCAGUCUGGGAUCUACGUGCUGUGGGGAGCAUACAGUUAACCUCUUUCUACCUGGUGGGGGUUUCAGUAUCUGCAAAAUAAACAGCUUAAAGGAUUUGGCUUAAUACCAUCUCUAGCCCUUGAGGAACUAAAGGCCCUUGGCUUUGUGUAAUGGCUAAACUACUAUUAUUUUGUUUAAUGGUGAAACUACUAUUAUUUUGUCUUGCUUGACUGUUUUCCUUUGUUUCUGCAUUUCCUCACUUCUCUGAUUAAAUGUGCUCUUUGGAACUCAGGGAAGGCCUAGGAGGCUCAAGUUUUUCUAUAAACAAGAGGCAGACGGAGGACAUGGUGGGGGGAAGGUAACUGUCCUGAGAAGGCCCCGUAGGGUCCUGCUAAGUUAAAAAUGUCAUGAGGAUGAAGCAAAAACGCCAUGACGUCUGGGUACCACAUCAAGGUUCAGCAAAGCUGUGAGGACUGCUGAGUGGCAGCUGAGAGUGACACUAACGCCUUAAAUUCUGAUUGCAUCUCUUGGUUAGCCUGGCUGAGAGUUUGAUCAAAAGUGGGGACUAGUUAAGGAGAAACCCACGGGCUCCAAAUGCUGUCACUUGCCCUGAAGCCCAGGAUACUGCACCUGGACUUCAUACCUGACCUGGCCUAGGUGUGGUUUUGACCUUCCCCAGAAAUGCAGUCUUAAUCAGACAGUCUGGAAUUUUCUGGGCAACACCCACAAGGUAAUCUGUCUCCUAGGUCCUUUCCAUCCUUGGGGAGGAAGGAGUAUUCUGCACGGGAGACCCCUGCCCUUCCUCCUGGAAGGUGACUGGGCCUGAAACAAUCCUUUUCUUUUGCUAAUAGCUCCCUUGUCCCACCCUCCUUCCACCUAUAUAUAUAUAUAUAUAUAUAUAUAUAUAUUAACAACCCAUUGGUUUCUUUCUGUUUAUACCCUGGGAUGUCCCUGACUCAUGAAUCACUGAAUAAAGCCAAUUAGAUCUUUAAUUUGCUUGGUGGAAUUUUGGUUUUUAACAGCUGUCCUUUUCAUCUUAGCAGCUGGUAUUUCCCUUUCUCCCUUCUCCACAGACCAGCCCACAGCACUUGCCAGCACCGCCCCCACUCACCAGCAUAUCCCAGGAAGGUCCUCUCUCCUGUGCCAAACCAUCUACUCCUGCAGAGGCCCCGGACCCGCUGGAAUGGAAUAGCAUAUAGCGAUGUGAUUUCAGCGUGUGGAGGUAAUGAGGGGGUUUCAGAUGUGAAACAGUGGGCUGAAGACAGAGCCCCUGUCUGCCAAAUGCUCCCUCUCCCUGCUGCUUUCGGAGACAUUCUGGAAGCUUAGAUGAGAGAGGGGACAGAGGGACUCCCACCAGGACCUCACAUUGCCCUGGUUAAUCUUCAGGCUCACCCACCUUCACUCAGGCCCUGGGUAAACAGAUUUCCAUUGCUUCUGUUGAGCACUUCCUCAAAAGAUAAAAAUGGCCUAUCCAGGAAGAAAAAAAUCCUGCUACCAGAUGUCGUAUCAAAAAUCAUUGGGGAAAAUAUCCCGAAGGUCACAGUUAGAAACAAGGUCCCCUCCAAGUCUCCAAAACUGGGGACCCUUGAGGCCACAAAACCCACAGACACAGAAGCAGAAAACACAGACCACAAUGAAAAGGUAAUGGACUUGCUUUAGUACAUCCCACUGCGGUUUAAGAGAAAAUGUACAAACCUUUGCAAAUGCUACAUCUGCCCACAGGAACCCCUGAACAUUGUAAGUCCCACAGAACAAUUAGAUUUGUCAAGACAUUUUCUUCUCAUCCAAGUUAAGCCUGCCAAAUCAAUCCUUCAUCCAGGUGGAGAAAUGUGUCCAGUGAAAGUGGAAUCAAAGAUUUCCUGGUUCCCACCCUGGCUCACUCAUUUCUACAGCAAACUAAUCUUGCAGGCAUGCUGCCAGGGGAUGCUUACUCACUAGCCUCUGCCACACAGGUAAUCGUGCCAUGUGCCCAGUGACCUUCACAGCUGCACAGUCCAGCUCUGCUUGGGGACGGGUUGCGCCCUCUUCCGUGUGUUUGCGUCUCAUGGUCAGUUUCGCCUCUGCCUGCCUGGGCCUCAGUUUUACCUCCUACUUAGCAGACACACCCAUAUAAGCCACUCCUUCCCCGUGAGAUAUUCUAAAUCUUGCAGGUGGAAACCUCUAACAAAUUCGAAAGGUAAAUUGAUGAUUGAAGUCUUUUUCACCUUUUUAUCAAGGUGAAACUGAGCAGGACCCUGUGGGGCCCUCCCAGGUACAGAAGCCCCUGUGUCCCCCGUUUCUUGUUUGUAGAAAAAGGCUUUUUUUUUUUUUUUUUUUAAA